rnacentral:sRNA from 1 species
GGCCAGACGAUACCCUGGGAGAGAAGCAGGCAAGGGGAGGGCUGCCUGUGCCCUGAUGGGCCUCCUGGACCCUUUCUCUGAAUGAGGAAGCACUGGGGAUACGGUGAGCCAAGAGGUACUGAGGUCUGCCUUAAACUAAAGGGUCCUUCUGGCUCCUGAACUGAAACCUGUGGGGGAGGCAGUCACAGAGCGGGGAGACCAGAUGGGCAGCUCCCCUGGCUACCCGGGAGAAGCUGUUGCCGGCCUCGGUGGGGCAGUGGAGUCAGGUAAGGACCUGGCCAUGGGUUUGAAGCUCUGGGAAGACUGAGUUGCUUCUCCAAUAGUCAGGACCCAAGAUCUGUUUCUGCCUUCAGACAGAAUGCGGUCAGCUGGGCCUCCCCGUCAGCCUCUGUGCUGGUCAGAUCCACGGCAGCCUCUUAGGACCUGUGUGAGCUUCUUGCCACGGCACUCUCCCUUGCAGAGUCUCCAUGCUGGGGGAGGCUUCUGGGCUUGUCCCUGCACCUUAACCAGCUGGUGUCACCUCAGAACACUUGUUCCCCUUAGAAGGGACCCAGAGGGGGCCCUGGGUGAGGGAGAGAUGGGAAACCCUCUCAGCACCCCCACCCUGUGGCUUCUCCUGGCAGGAAACAUACUGGGGAGAAACCCUUUGAGUGUCCCAAAUGUGGGAAAUGUUACUUUCGGAAGGAGAACCUCCUGGAGCAUGAAGCCCGGAAUUGCAUGAACCGCUCGGAACAGGUACUUGGGAGCUGGCCCAGGUACUUGUGGGCAGGGCACACUGGCCUCUCUGUCUUCGUGCCAUCCGGGAAGGGCCCCAGGAGACUGUCUGAGAGGGGUACUGUAAACUCAGGAAAGCUGUGGGGUCCUUGGAUGUCAUGAGGUCCAUGCCCUGGUACAGGUGGGGACACAGGUCCUGAGGGCGGAAGGGACAGGCAUAGGAGGGACUCUGUGGGAGGCAUUUGGGGUUGGUUUUCCUAGGCCCCUGGCCCACCUCCACCUUGGCUUUGGAGAAGGGGAGCCUCUACAGGGGAUGGCAGCUGGGAAAGGCCCCCUGGCCACCCCCAGCAACCCCACUGCUGGCUUCUGUGUCAGGGCCUGCUGAAACCCAGACCCACUCUUCCUAGAGGCCUGUCAGCAGCCACUAGGGCCAGGGACUGUGGGUGAGGCCACUCAGAUCCUGCCCCCCGUCUGUCUGGGCCUGAGAAGGGCCUGGUGUGCGUUGGGCUUGCAGCACUCAGUGAUGGUCAGGCCAGGCAGGUUAUGUGUUGCCCUCUCCCACCCUAGCGUCCCCCGCCCUCCCCAGGCAGACUCUUUCCAGCAGCAAGCGGAAGCCCGGGCAGAGGCUGCUGUCGUUGGCAGAGGCCCCCGCUGAUGCCGGCCCUGCUUGCCCCUCACACUGCCAGGUCUUCACGUGCUCUGUGUGCCAGGAGACAUUCCGCCGAAGGAUGGAGCUGCGGGUGCACAUGGUGUCUCACACAGGGGAGAUGCCCUACAAGUGUUCCUCCUGCUCCCAGCAGUUCAUGCAGAAGAAAGACUUGCAGAGCCACAUGAUCAAGCUUCAUGGAGCCCCCAAGCCCCAUGCAUGCCCCACCUGCGCCAAGUGCUUCCUGUCUCGGACAGAGCUGCAGCUGCACGAAGCUUUCAAGCACCGUGGUGAGAAGCUGUUUGUGUGUGAGGAGUGUGGGCACCGGGCCUCGAGCCGGAAUGGCCUGCAGAUGCACAUCAAGGCCAAGCACAGGAAUGAGAGGCCACACGUAUGUGAGUUCUGCAGCCACGCCUUCACCCAAAAGGCCAAUCUCAACAUGCACCUGCGCACACACACGGGCGAGAAGCCCUUCCAGUGCCACCUCUGUGGCAAGACCUUCCGAACCCAAGCCAGCCUGGACAAGCACAACCGCACCCACACCGGGGAAAGGCCCUUCAGUUGCGAGUUCUGUGAACAGCGUUUCACUGAGAAGGGGCCCCUCCUGAGGCACGUGGCCAGCCGCCAUCAGGAGGGCCGGCCCCACUUCUGCCAGAUCUGCGGCAAGACCUUCAAAGCCGUGGAGCAACUGCGUGUGCAUGUCAGACGGCACAAGGGGGUGAGGAAGUUCGAGUGCACCGAGUGCGGCUACAAGUUUACCCGACAGGUAGGCCAGGGCCCAGGUCCGUUCCCCUACCCCGGGAUCCCUCGAAGUCCUGAGCUCACCCUCCCCGCCAGGCCCACCUGCGGAGGCACAUGGAGAUCCACGACCGGGUGGAGAACUACAACCCGCGGCAGCGCAAGCUCCGCAACCUGAUCAUUGAGGAUGAGAAGAUGGUGGUGGUGGCGCUGCAGCCGCCUGCAGAGCUGGAGGUGGGCUCGGCGGAGGUCAUUGUGGAGUCCCUGGCCCAGGGCGGCCUGGCCUCCCAGCUCCCCGGCCAGAGACUGUGUGCAGAGGAGAGCUUCACCGGCCCAGGUGUCCUGGAGCCCUCCCUCAUCAUCACAGCUGCUGUCCCCGAGGACUGUGACACAUAGCCUACUCUAGCCACCAGAGCCCACUUGGCCCCACCCCUCAAUAAACCGUGUGGCUUUGGACUCGCGUA